AAUCUUUCUGGCCAGCUCUGAAACCUGAUUUUUUGCAAGUUUGGUGGAAAGAGAUUGUAAAGCUUUUUCUGAACUAGAAAAGAAAACACUAACUUCUUCCUAUUACCCGUUCCAGGUGUGACCUCUGGCUGAUCGGACCUCGAACCAGACCUCUGUUGUUUUUUGCGGCUCCUUCCUGGACUAGAACUGAACCUGGCAGACUGAGUUCCUCUCCUGACUCAGUGCUUCUCCCUGGCGGAUUCCACGUCCCCCCCCCACCAGUAAGAAACGUUGUCUUUUAGGCCAUAUUCUGAGGUUCAGUCUCUAACCGUCUUUUUCUCCCUUGUUUCAUUUAGUGACGGGGAUUAGGUUCAUCGCUCUCAUAACUGCCUUGCUGAGUUUUUCAAUAAACUUCAACUAAACCGUUCUUGUUUUCUGAGUGUCUCUGCAUGUGAGUUAAGUCGGCAAUAAGAAACAUGACAGAGCACUCAGGCCGGCCUAACCCAGCAGAGGCUCUACAGAGAACCUUAGCCGAACAUAGUCAGCAGACCCAGACGCACGGUUCCACCCUCCAAACCUUCCUAGAUCAGCAGCGGCAGACUAACCAGCAAUUAGAGCAUCUGCCAUCUCUGUUCCAACGCGCCUGUAGCCCUGAGUCUGCCGCACCCGUGGGGGGGGCGCUGCCGAGCAUUUUGGCACCUCAACAGCAGCUUCUCUCCCGUGUCGUCACCUCCCCUAAUCUGGAGAAGUUCUCCGGAGAGGUGGGAGGUUGCCGUGGAUUUCGACUCCAGUACACACUAGUGUUCAACCGGUCCCCCCGAUCUUUUCCACAUGAUGAGGAAGCCUCCAGGAACACCGCCGCCACAUUCGGCUGAUUCUACAGCGCCUCCUUGAAAACAGACUGUACGUCAAGGUCGAAGUGUGAAUUUCAUCAGUUGACCGUCAGUUUCCUGGGAUUUGUUUUGGAGGAGGGACAGGUCCGCGCUGACCCAGGGAAGGUUCGAGCAGUGCUGGACUGGCCAGUACCUGACUCCCGGAAGAAGCUGCAGCAGUUCCUGGGGAUCGCCAACUUUUACCGGAGGUUCAUACGGAAUUACAGCCAAGUGGCGGCCCCCCUGACUGCGCUAACCUCCACCAAGACGACCUUCAGCUGGGGCACGGGGGCCAAGGCCACCUUCACCCGGUUAAAGAGGCUGUUCUCCCAAGUAGCUGUCCUGAUACAUCCAGACUCUGCUAAGCAGUUCACAUUGGAGGUUGACGCCUCAGACACCGGGGUGGGGCGGUCCUCUCUCAGCUUUCGGACCAGGAUGGGAGGCUACACCCCUGUACUUUCUUCUCACGACGACUGACCCCCGCCGAACAGAACUACCAGGUGGGAGACAGGGAGCUGCUAGCCAUCAAACUGGCCAUGGAGGAGUGGAGGCAUUGGCUGGAGGGCGCCAAACAUCCUGGGCUGGUUUGGACAGACCACAAGAACUUGUCUUACAUUCAGUCAGCUAAUCGUCUUGAUGCCCGUCAAUCACGUUGGUCACUUUUUUUCCCCCGCUUUAAUCUGUCUAUUUCUUUUAGGCCUGAUUCUAAGAACCUUAAACCCGACGCUCUGUCCCGCCAGUUCGGCCCUGGGGACUCUGAAAAACAGGCCGAGCCCAUUCUGCCGCCAAGCUGUACUGUUGGCUUCUUAACCUGGGAGGUAGAGAACCUGGUGUGGCGAGCCCUCCCUGACGAUCCAGGGCUGGGCAAUGGGCCCCCUGGACGGACCUACGUUCCAGCCACAGUACGGUCCACAUUGAUCUGCUGGUUCCAUACAGCCUAGUUCUCCACCCAUCCGGGAGUCAGUAGAACCGUUGCUGCAGUUUCCAGGCGUUAUUGGUGGCCGUCCAUGUGUAAAGACACCAGGGAGUACGUGAACGCUUGCACUACCUGCGCCAGAAGCAAAACCUCAAAUCAAUCCUCCGCGGGCCUGCUCCAGCCUGUCAACAUCCGCAAGUGACCCUGGUCUCACGUAGCUUUGGAUUUUGUAACGAACCUGCCGAACUCUCAUGAAAUGACUGUAAUAAUGACUAUAGUCGAUCGGUUCUCCAAGGCCUGCCACCUGGUCCCAUUCAGAAAGCUGCCGUCGUCUCUCCAGACAGCAAAGUUGGUGGUCAAACAUGUCUUCCGCCUGCACGUCAUCUCCAGUUGUCUGUUGUCCGACAGGGGCCCUCAGUUCACUUCCCGGGUCUGAAGACAUUUCUGUGAUGCUUAGAGGGCAAAGGUGGCACUGACUUCGGGCCAUCACCCCCAGUCGAAUGGCCAAGUUGAGCGUCUCAACCAAGAAUUGGAGGCGGCGCUACAGUGCGUAACAUCAACCAGCCCCACUGAAUUGAGUGCCUACUUGGGAUGGAUUGAGUAUGCCCACAACAUGCACGUCUCCUUUGCCACUGGCUACACACCUUUUGAGGCCUCCCUGGGGUACCAACCGCCGCUGUUCCUGUCGGAGGAGGGGGACAUCGCAGUUCCUAUGGUGCGACACCACAUCCGGAGAUGUAAGCGGGUUUGGGACGCCACCACCCGAGCACUUCACCGUACAGUGGCCCAAAAUAAGCGCUACGCAGACCGCCGACGUCUGCCUGCUCCCUGUUACCGCCCUGGUCAGAAGGUUUGGCUCGCCGCACAGGACAUCCCACUUAAGUCUGUUGGGACCCACAGCCAUGGAAACAACAUGAAAGAUACGUGAUCAUUGGGAGAGAAGGCACAGCGCGCUAAUUUCUCUUUGCCGGCAAACAGACAUAAACUCUUCAAACUGGAUCCAAGGGUGUCAUACGAUCAUCGAUCAGAUGCACUGAGUUAAGUACGGAUGAAUUACUGUUUGUGUACCCGGUAUUCAUUCAUAAA